UCCAUGAAAGGUUUCAGGAAGCUGGAUCUGCUGAAUUAUGACGUGGCAGCUGGGGCAGUCUGUGACAACAGACACUGGACACUCAUUGUAAGACGCCACACAACCAUCAGAAUUUGACGUGAACCUACUAGGUUUAACAUGAUCUCCAUUUGUUUUUCAAGAUAAUGUAUCUGAAAGAAAUGUGGGCUGUCUUUGUUGACCCAUUUGGGGCAACACAAGCACAACUCGAUAGGUGCAGGGAUGUGACAAGGUACGCACAACAGGCUAAUGUUAACCACAGCAGUCAGAUUUCUAACUUGUACAUGUGGAUCACAUAAGGCUGCUGCACUGGAUGACAUUCAGUACCUGUUCCUUUUCUUGUUUUUUGUACUCAUCUGUUUUUUCUUUUUUUUAACAUUUGAAAGAGCUCUGGUUAGACGGAAAUGUCCAGCCAUCGGCAAAUGGACAUGCUCAACUGUUGCCCAU
ensembl:lncRNA